CUCAGUGAAGGAAAGCAUACGGAAGAGGAAUGACUGAAUUUUAAAAGCAUAGGUGGGCGUGGCUUCAGGGUCGAGGAUCUGCCAGUUGGUCAGACCAUGUCAGUCAGCCGAGCAGUGCGUCUCAAGCCAUCGUAGGGAAAGGAAGUACGCCGCCUUGCCUCGCCUUGCCUCGCCUCGCCUUGCUGCUGUUGGUGGUGUCGCUCCGGCUUCACUCCCAACUCGGACCAUCGCCAACUCGGACCAUCACCAACUCGGCCCUGGUCUAUACUAACUCGGACCACGAUAACCAACUCGGACCACUAUAUGCCAACUCGGACCACCAACUUGGACCAUGUUUAAAAGUUAAAUAAUAAUUCAGCAGCUCAAAA